ACAACAUUCGGACCGUUGGUGUACUGUACAAUAUCAUCCGCUCGGCGGAAGAUCUUCCCUUUGUCGU
rnacentral:pre_miRNA from 1 species